AGCCGCACCGGUUCCAACAAGAAAAAAACCCGAAAGUCACGCCGUAUCUUCAAGGUCGACGACGUGCCCAGGAUCUUGAAGCUAGACAUGCGAGUUUCGAAAACCUUCCAAGCUAUAUCCACUGCCUUCGACAAGACGAACAGCCUGCUGUCCUGGAAAAACCCUAGCACCACCCUGUGCCUGCUGCUGACUCUGAUGGCGCUGAUUCUGCUUGGCUUCUGGCAGGGCCAAGGAUUUGCCGUGCAGG